ensembl:lncRNA
UGUGUGUGUGUAUGUAUAUGUGUGUGUGUAUGUGUGUGUGUGUAUGUGUGUGUGUGGGUGUGUGUAUAUGUGUGUGGGUGUGUGUAUGUGUGGGGGUGUGUGUGUAUGUAUGUGUGUGUGUGUGGGUGUGUGUGUAUAUGUGUGUGGGUGUGUGUACACUUCCUCUGGCAGUGCCAGUUUUAUCAGCACAUUCCUUGACCUCGGGUUCUAAGUGACAUUCCAUUCUGUUUUUUUGUUCAAAUAACCGGUUUGUUCAUUCCGUUGUUUUGAAUGUUUAUAUUGCAACCUUCAAGAAGAAAUGCAGAAAGGUUAUCUAAACAAAUCUGUCGGCACCUGAAUGCCUUUGUUUGAUCCCUGACACAGCAGUUUAGCUUUAGUGAUUAAUUUAUUGUGUUUCUGUUUUUUUUAUUAAAGAUAUCCACUGGUUGUGUUUUGAUGAAGUUUUUUUGCACAUAAAUGUUUCUGAAUGUAGACCGUUCUGAAUGCAGCGGGGGAGAGUUAUUCACGACACAAACCAUCCUCAUAACACUUCAUGUUGAUCUGAAAGACUCAGGCUGCUGAUUAGCAUCAGAAUAUCUACAGCUUUACCUCUGACAGGUGCAGUUUCUGACACAUUGUUUACAACCUCCUUAUGUGUGUUCAACUCCACUUCAGGAGAUAAAUUCAAAUUAUUUUCUAUGUGGACUUUUCCAUUCAUGACUGGUUGAUAACGGAACUGAACCCAACACGGACCUUGGAGUAGAAGCGUUGUGUGUGUAAACGCCCCUGGGAUUCUUUCACUUCUACACCUUUAUUUCCUCUCACAAUACCACACACAAACAUUGUGCUAUACAGUCUGUUGCCAUGGAAACCAAAUCCCCAUGUGUAGACCUCAGAUGAUGGACAGUUGAGGUUGAUUGUGAUGAAAAAAGUAAUGGAAUGUUUUGUCAUUAAAUUAUAGUGAAGGCAGUUUAUUUAAAAAUCACCUUGGAUAAAUCAUACAGACCUUCUCUCUCUCAAGCUGUUUUAUUGGCAUGAAAAACAAAGUGCCAAAGUAACAAUGUAUACAAUAUACAUUGUAAAAAAAAAAAAAAUGAAUUAAUCUGUCUCUCUCAUCAGCCCCUCAUUGGCAGGCAUAGUCAUUUUCAGAGAUUAAUGAAACAACUCACAGAUACUUUCCGAAUGCACUAUAUGUGUAUUUUUCCACAUUUUUCUAGGUUACAGCCUUACUCUAAAAUAGAUUAAAUUGUUUUUCUUCCCUCAUCAAUCUACACUCUAUACCCCAUCUUCCCUCAUCAAUCUACACUCUAUACCCCAUAAUGACAUCACAGUACCCCAUAAUACUGGCCUGUCUCCUGGUAGCGCCUACAUGCUCUGGACACUACGCUGACAGACACAG